rnacentral:rRNA from 1 species
UACGGAGGGUGCGAGCGUUGUCCGGAAUCACUGGGCGUAAAGGGCGCGUAGGCGGCAUGCCAAGCGUGUGGUGAAAGCCCGGGGCUCAACCCCGGGUCGGCCGUGCGGACUGGCGUGCUCGAGCACUGUAGGGGCGGGUGGAAUUCCGGGUGGUAGCGGUGGAAUGCGUAGGAGAUCCGGAAGAACACCGGUGGCGAAGGCGGCU